UGUACUGAUAACCUUAUGAGGUUUCUUGAGGGAAUUAGUUCGAGGCUAUCGCAAUUGGAAUUAUAUUGUUACAAUCUAGAUAAGUCAAUUGGAGAAAUGAGAUCUGAGUUAACUAGUGAUCAUGAGAAUCGCAAUUGGAAUUAUAUUGUUACAAUCUAGAUAAGUCAAUUGGAGAAAUGAGAUCUGAGUUAACUAGUGAUCAUGAGGAGGCAGAUUCGAAACUCAAAUCUCUUGAUAAACAUCUUCGGGAAGUACACAGGUCUGUACAAAUUUUAAGAGAC
rnacentral:lncRNA from 1 species